AGCGUUGCUCGGAAUCACUGGGCGUAAAGCGCACGUAGGCGGAUUGUUAAGUCAGGGGUGAAAUCCUGGAGCUCAACUCCAGAACUGCCUUUGAUACUGGCGAUCUUGAGUCCGGGAGAGGUGAGUGGAACUCCUAGUGUAG
rnacentral:rRNA from 1 species